GAUGAACGCUGGCGGCGUGCUUAACACAUGCAAGUCGAACGGUGAAGCAGGAGCUUGCUCUUGUGGAUCAGUGGCGAACGGGUGAGUAACACGUGAGCAACCUGCCCCUGACUCUGGGAUAAGCGCUGGAAACGGCGUCUAAUACUGGAUAUGUGAUGUGACCGCAUGGUCUGCAUCUGGAAAGAAUUUCGGUUGGGGAUGGGCUCGCGGCCUAUCAGCUUGUUGGUGAGGUAAUGGCUCACCAAGGCGUCGACGGGUAGCCGGCCUGGGAGGGUGACCGGCCACACUGGGACUGAGACACGGCCCAGACUCCUACGGGAGGCAGCAGUGGGGAAUAUUGCACAAUGGGCGGAAGCCUGAUGCAGCAACGCCGCGUGAGGGAUGACGGCCUUCGGGUUGUAAACUUCUUUUAGCAGGGAAGAAGCGAAAGUGACGGUACCUGCAGAAAAAGCACCGGCUAACUACGUGCCAGCCGCCGCAGUAA
rnacentral:rRNA from 1 species